ensembl:misc_RNA Metazoa_SRP Metazoan signal recognition particle RNA
GUGGGGUGUGGUGGUGCCUCCCGUAGCCCCAGCUACUCAGGAGGCUGAGGCCAGAGGAUCCCUGAGACUGACUUCUGGGCUGUAGUUUUCUGUGCUGAUGGGGUGUCCGUGUUAAGUUUGGUAUCAAUAUGGUGACCUCUUGGGAACAGGGGACCACCAGGUUGCCUAAGGAGGGGUGAACCAGCCCAGGUUGGAAACGGAGCAGGUCACAGUUCCCAUGUCGAUGAGUGAUGGGAUUGUGCCUAGGAAUAGUGCCAGCAACAGCCUGGGCAACAUAGUGAGACCACUCGCUACA